UACGAAGGGGGCUAGCGUUGCUCGGAAUGACUGGGCGUAAAGGGCGCGUAGGCGGUUUGGACAGUCAGAUGUGAAAUUCCUGGGCUCAACCUGGGGGCUGCAUUUGAUACGUUCGGACUAGAGUGGGGAAGAGGGUCGUGGAAUUCCCAGUGUAGAGGUGAAAUUCGUAGAUAUUGGGAAGAACACCGGUGGCGAAGGCGGCGACCUGGUCCUUGACUGACGCUGAGGCGCGAAGGCCAGGGGAGCGAACAGG
rnacentral:rRNA from 1 species